rnacentral:lncRNA from 1 species
UUCCCAGCUUCCAGAAAUAAACUGGAUGAAACUUCCUUUCACCCUCCACAAGAUAAAUUGAGUUUCCUUGUGUGAAAGCAAAGCAACUAGAAACACAAUUUUUCUGUCUUGGGAAGAUCUGUUGAGUUACAGCGUCAUCGUACACAAGGCUUUUACUGAUAAGGAAGUGAGGUGGUGGGAGACAAGAGCUCUUAAGGAGAGAGAGGCAUAUUUAGAGGGAGAGGGGAAACUAUAUUCAAAAAACUUAUAGUUUGUGAACUUUCUGAGAAAAGAGAACAGAGCAUGUUGGAAUAGAACAUGUUCUGGAAUAAAUGAACAGAUUUGUGUGAGGUUCCAGCUAAGCCACUGAAAGUGGACAUUACGUGUGCUUGGUAGUUUAUACAAUCACAUUUAAUCUUCAUACCAAUUCUGCGGGGUGGGUAUUGUUAGCUAAAUUUUACUGGUGAAGAAAUUGUAGCUCAAAGAACUGGUAUGACAAACAUGAGACAGAACAUGGAAUUUGAUCUUGCAUCUUCUGAUUCUAAUGCGUUGAAUUUGAUCUUGCAUCUUCUGAUUCUAAUGCGUUGAUUCAGUCCUACCCAGCACCACCUUCCACAGAGUCUCUUUUGUCAUCAACAAAACUUGUUUUCUGGCUGGGUUCAAAGGCAGCCUGUGGCUCUGAGGCCUAGAGUAAAGGAUUUGGGAUCAGUCUGAGGACACCACUUCAGCAUUUACAUCCAUUCAUCUUUAUGAACUCCUCAACAUGGGUUCAUUCCUUCUAUUUUAUUUAGUUGCUGAAUGUGACUGCUUCAAAUUAGACUAUAAGCUCCCUGAAGGCAUGGGCCAGGGAAGAUGCAGCAAGAAGGCCCUGGCCAGAUGCCAGCCCCUCGAUCUUGGACUUCCUAGCCUCCAGAACUGU